UGGGGAAUAUUGCACAAUGGGCGAAAGCCUGAUGCAGCAACGCCGCGUGAGUGAUGAAGGUCUUCGGAUUGUAAAGCUCUGUCUUUUGGGACGAUAAUGACGGUACCAAAGGAGGAAGCCACGGCUAACUACGUGCCAGCAGCCGCGGUAAUACGUAGGUGGCGAGCGUUGUCCGGAUUUACUGGGCGUAAAGGGUGCGUAGGCGGAUGUUUAAGUGAGAUGUGAAAUACCCGGGCUUAACUUGGGUGCUGCAUUUCAAACUGGAUAUCUAGAGUGCAGGAGAGGAGAAUGGAAUUCCUAGUGUAGCGGUGAAAUGCGUAGAGAUUAGGAAGAACACCAGUGGCGAAGGCGAUUCUCUGGACUGUAACUGACGCUGAGGCACGAAAGCGUGGGUAGCAAACAGGAUUAGAUACCCUGGUAGUCCACGCCGUAAACGAUGAGUACUAGGUGUAGGAGGUAUCGACCCCUUCUGUGCCGCAGUAAACACAUU
rnacentral:rRNA from 1 species